GACGGGGGGGGCAAGUGUUCUUCGGAAUGACUGGGCGUAAAGGGCACGUAGGCGGUGAAUCGGGUUGAAAGUGAAAGUCGCCAAAAAGUGGCGGAAUGCUCUCGAAACCAAUUCACUUGAGUGAGACAGAGGAGAGUGGAAUUUCGUGUGUAGGGGUGAAAUCCGUAAAUAUACGAAGGAACACCAAAGGCGAAGGCAGCAUCCUGGGAAGUUCCUGACGCUCGGGUGCGAAAGCCAGGGGAGCGAACGGG
rnacentral:rRNA from 1 species